GACGAACGCUGGCGGCGCGCCUAACACAUGCAAGUCGAAUGAGCGAGAGAGAGCUUGCUUUCUCGAGCGAGUGGCGAACGGGUGAGUAACGCGUGAGGAACCUGCCCCUAAGAGGGGGACAACAGCUGGAAACGACUGCUAAUACCGCAUAAGACCACGACCCGCCAUCUGGUAGAGGGAAAAGGAGCGAUCCGCUUUGAGAUGGCCUCGCGUCCGAUUAGCUAGUUGGUGUGGUAACGGCCCACCAAGGCGACGAUCGGUAGCCGGACGGAGAGGUUGAACGGCCACAUUGGGACUGAGACACGGCCCAGACUCCGACGGGAGGGAGCAGUGGGGAAUAUUGCACAAUGGGGGAAACCCUGAUGCAGCGACGCGGGGGGGGGGAAGAAGGUCUUCGGAUUGUAAACUCCUGUUGUUGAGGAAGAGAAUGACGGUACUGAACAAGGAAGUGACGGCUAACUACGUG
rnacentral:rRNA from 1 species